rnacentral:rRNA from 1 species
GGGGGGGCAAGCGUUGUUCGGAAUUACUGGGCGUAAAGGGCGCGUAGGCUGUCCCGCAAGUCCUCCGUGAAAUCCCACAGCUCAACUGUGGAAUUGCGAGGGAAACUGCAGGACUUGAGUUCGGGAGAGGAGAGUGGAAUUCCCAGUGUAGCGGUGAAAUGCGUAGAUAUUGGGAGGAACACCGGUGGCGAAGGCGGCUCUCUGGACCGACACUGACGCUGAGGCGCGAAAGCUAGGGGAGCAAACGGGGGAUUAGAUACCCCGGUAGUCCUAGCCCUAAACGAUGAGCACUUGGUGUGGCGGGUAUCGACCCCCUGCCGUGCCGAAGCUAACGCAUUAAGUGCUCCGCCUGGGGAGUACGGUCGCAAGGCUG